UUGAGACAAUCAAAGAAAGAGAGAAAAAAAGAAGAACAGAAGUCGUCAGAAAGUGUCGAUAAGAGAGAAAGUUUGAGACAAUCAAAGAAAGAGAAAAAAAAGAAGAAGAACAGAAGUCCUCAGAAAAUGUAGAUGAGAGCGGAAAUGUAAGACAAUCGAAGAGCAGGAAAAAAGAACAAGAACAGGUGAAGUUGACUAUCAAGUUAAACAUGUUAAAUACUUUAACCGAGACUAUUGUCGAUAAAGAAUCAACUAAAAAGGCUGUAUGCCGAAAAAUGAAAGUGAUAUCUGCCCCAAAAAAAGGGUGACAUUGAAAAAACUAAGGUGACAAGAGCUAACCACAUUCAACAUCUUGGUAGUGGGACCAGAGAUUACCAAAUUAAACAUCUAAGUAGGGUAAAUAAAG